rnacentral:lncRNA from 1 species
GAAAAAUAUAUAUUACUGCAUAUCAGCAGGGAUAUAAUGGAGAAAAAGGGAUUGAGAUGGAGCAACGCACCACAAUGGACUGUGUUGGAUAAAUAGCAGUUACCUGUUGGAGUUAGAAAGAACACCUAACCAAUGCUCUUCAAAAGUGCUAAAAAGUUGCAAAACAACAACAACAACAACAACAAAA